AGUUUGGUGACACGUGUCUAUGUACGUGGAGUUAUUUUGGUAUGUGAGGUUCAGUGGCUCGCCGGCCUCCGUACUACUCGAGGUGAGUUUAGAACAUCUGCUUUCGUUAAUCAAAUUGAAUAGUUUAUUAAGAUUGCAUCAGAUAAUUUACUCAUUAAUCAUUAUUUAUAAGGAAAUUAUGAGUUUUUAGUUUGACCCGCCAACCAACAUUUGGUUUUGUUCACUUGUUUUUUUUUUUUUUUUUGAAAGUCACUUCUUGUUUUUACACUUCUUGUUUUUCACUUUCGUAAUAGAACCUAAAAAUCUUAUAGCAGCAAAUCUGACGCAGAUGGCCAAUUACGGUAAUUUAUCAAGAUGUGCUGAUGCACUGGGUCCUUUAUUUAUUUAUUUAUUUAUUGAGAGUCACUGGGUCCUUUAUUUACUUGAAUUAUUAUUGUUAUUUUUAAUUUAUACAAGCACACUACCAAGAGUGACUAAAACCAGUACCUGAAUCCUGAGCUACUACGAGGUAGACCUUCCCCUCAAAAAAGAAGUAAAUAACUCGGAAGCCAAUCUCCUUUGUUUGCUUGAAUUAAUAAAUAAUAGAUGCUCUCGGUAUUUCUGUUCGUGGGUCCUCGUUAUUAUCGUUGUUUGUAAUACGUAGGUCAUUAGCUUACUUCUGUCGAAAAAACAGAACACAAACUUUUGAUUAAGUGCUCCAUAUGCAGCCAGCGUUUGUGGAAUUUUUUCAGUUCUGUUUUGUGCUGUUGUUUUUCGAGUAGAAGAAAAAUUGAAUAGCUUUUUGCUAAACACAAUAACAGUAAGGCAUCAUUACAAAAGAAAUUGAUCGAGUAAGAGCAUAGUUUUAGGGGACAGUUAAACACCUGAAAAUAUUUUUUAAAAGAUACAUUUAAAAAAGAAAAGUAAAGAACAGUGGAAUCUACAAUCACAUAAAACAAGAGAUUAAACAAUCAUCUGCAUCUCACAAGUCAUAGACUUGCUUCCCAGUGAACUUAACCUCGAUGGGACUGACAUUCUUCCCAAUUGAUCUGUAAUUCACUCCCACUCCCUGGCGACCAGGGUUCACUUUUUCAGGAUAAACUCCAUCCUUGGGGUGAAGAUAUUGAACCUCACCAUUAGGAAAGACCCUGUAAAACUGGUACUUGAUCUUGUACUUUGAUCUCAAUCUAGUACCAAGAGCCA
rnacentral:lncRNA from 1 species